GUGGCUGUAGCUCAGUUGGUUAGAGCGUCGGGUUGUGGUUCCGAAGGCCGUGGGUUCGAGACCCAUCAGCCACCCCA
rnacentral:tRNA from 1 species